rnacentral:lncRNA from 1 species
CGCAAACUACAUUCUCUUAGGCGCAGCCUCUAGCUGCAUUUUCCUGACCCUUUCUCUCCGCUUGAUCCCCUCGCUUGUCGGCUUCUUCCUCAUCCUCCUCCACAUCCUCACCAUCGGCGGCGCUGUGGCGGGCUGCGCCGCCGCCUCCUCCGGCGCCGGAAAAUGGUAUGCUGCACACAUGAUGGUCACCGUGCUUUCCGCAAUCUUUCAGGGCUCUGUUUCGGUGCUAAUUUUCACUAGUAGUGAGGACUUUUUGGGUAAACUGAAAUCAUAUGUUAGAGAAGAAGAUGGUGUCAUGAUCUUGAAAUUGGCUGGGGGAUUGUGUGUUUUGAUCUUCUGUUUGGAGUGGAUUGUUUUAACACUUGCCUUCUUUGUGAAAUAUUAUUCGUUGGAUGAGAAUGUGGAGGUGAAGAGAAGUGCUAAGGUUCAACAAGAAUUGGAUUAUCUGCCUUA